rnacentral:rRNA from 1 species
UACGAAGGGGGCUAGCGUUGCUCGGAUUGACUGGGCGUAAAGGGCGCGUAGGCGGUUCGUACAGUCAGACGUGAAAUUCCUGGGCUCAACCUGGGGGCUGCGUUUGAUACGUGCGGACUUGAGUGCGGAAGAGGGUCGUGGAAUUCCAGGUGUAGCGGUGAAAUGCGUAGAUAUCUGGAGGAACACCGGUGGCGAAGGCGGCAUCCUGGACCGGCAUUGACGCUGAGGCGCGAAAGCCAGGGGAGCAAAGCGGG